rnacentral:rRNA from 1 species
GACAGAGGAUGCAAGCGUUAUCCGGAAUGAUUGGGCGUAAAGCGUCUGUAGGUGGCUUUUAAGUCCGCCGUCAAAUCCCAGGGCUUCAACCCUGGACAGGCGGUGGAAACUACCAAGCUGGAGUACGGUAGGGGCAGAGGGAAUUUCCGGUGGAGCGGGUGAAAGUGCUGUAGAGAUCGGAAAGAACACCAACGGCGAAAGCAACUCUGCUGGGACCGACACUGACACUGGAGAGACGAAAGCUAGGGGAGCGAAUGGG